GACGAAGGGGGCUAGCGUUGUUCGGAAUUACUGGGCGUAAAGCGCACGUAGGCGGAUAUUUAAGUCAGGGGUGAAAUCCCAGAGCUCAACUCUGGAACUGCCUUUGAUACUGGGUAUCUUGAGUAUGGAAGAGGUAAGUGGAAUUGCGAGUGUAGAGGUGAAAUUCGUAGAUAUUCGCAGGAACACCAGUGGCGAAGGCGGCUUACUGGUCCAUAACUGACGCUGAGGUGCGAAAAGCGUGGGGAGCAAACAGG
rnacentral:rRNA from 1 species